ACGAACGCUGGCGGCAUGCCUAACACAUGCAAGUCGAACGAGACCUUCGGGUCUAGUGGCGCACGGGUGCGUAACGCGUGGGAACCUGCCCUUAGGUUCGGAAUAACUCCCCGAAAGGGGUGCUAAUACCGGAUAAUGUCUUCGGACCAAAGAUUUAUCGCCUUUGGAUGGGCCCGCGUUGGAUUAGCUAGUUGGUAGGGUAAAAGCCUACCAAGGCGACGAUCCAUAGCUGGUCUGAGAGGAUGAUCAGCCACACUGGGACUGAGACACGGCCCAGACUCCUACGGGAGGCAGCAGUUGGGAAUAUUGGACAAUGGGCGAAGGCCUGAUCCAACAAGGCCGCGUGAGUGAUGAAGGCCUUAGGGUUGUAAAGCUCUGUUACCCGGGAUGAUAAUGACAGUACCGGGAGAAUAAGCUCCGGCUAACUCCGUG
rnacentral:rRNA from 1 species